AUACGAAAGAUGUAGUAGGGAAAAGCAGCGACAGCUGGCUAAAGGGGCCCCCCACAACCCUCCCCGACACCCUAGGAAAGCAGCCUCUCUCCGCUGUCCCAGGGUGCCAUGGAUAUGGAGAGCGCGGCGGCCUCCACAGGUUUCCACCAGCCUCACAUGGAGAGGAAGAUGAGUGCGAUGGCCUGUGAGAUCUUCAACGAGCUUAGACUAGAGGGCAAGCUCUGCGACGUGGUCAUCAAGAGCUUUGUUUACAAGUGGCUGGAACAACACUGAAAAGAAGGUAUACAACAUCCCUGGCAUUUCUCCCGACAUGAUGAAGCUAAUCAUUGAGUAUGCAUACACCCGGACCGUGCCUAUCACACCAGACAAUGUGGAGAAACUGCUUGCUGCUGCAGACCAGUUUAACAUCAUGGGUAUCGUCAGGGGUUGCUGCGAGUUCCUCAAGUCAGAGCUGUGCUUGGAUAAUUGUAUUGGCAUCUGUAAGUUCACGGACUACUACUACUGUCCUGAGCUGAGGCAGAAGGCCUACAUGUUCAUACUGCACAACUUCGAGGAGAUGGUGAAAGUCU
rnacentral:sRNA from 1 species